UACGUAGGGUGCAAGCGUUAAUCGGAAUUACUGGGCGUAAAGGGCGCGCAGGCGGCCUUUCAAGUGAGAUGUGAAAUCCCCGGGCUUAACCUGGGAAGUGCAUUUCAGACUGCAAGGCUAGAGUGCUUUAGAGAGGGAUGGAAUUCCACGUGUAGCAGUGAAAUGCGUAGAGAUGCGGAGGAAUACCGAAGGCGAAGGCAAUCCCCUGGGACUGGACUGACGCUCAUGCGCGAAAGCGUGGGGAGCAAACAGG
rnacentral:rRNA from 1 species